rnacentral:rRNA from 1 species
UUAGUUGGUGGAGUGAUUUGUCUGGUUAAUUCCGUUAACGAACGAGACCGCAGCCUGCUAAAUAGUUGCUUGAACCCUUCGUUCGAGUGAACUUCUUAGAGGGACAACUUGUCUUCAACAAGUGGAAGUUUGCGGCAAUAACAGGU